rnacentral:lncRNA from 1 species
UUUUUUCAAAUAGAAUGAAUCUGUAGUAUUCCUUCAUAUUUUUGAAGUUAAUGAUUUCCUCUCGUAAAUAUUAGAAAAUUUGAUGUUUGUAGUACAAAUGAAAGACAUAAAUAUGUUAAAAAUGUAUCAUGGGGUUGGAAGAUUAUACUACUGUUUUAUUUUGAUUCCUCCUUAUUUAAUUUUCUAUCUGACAGUGGAAUUAAUAGUGCAUUGGUUAAAUUACUCCAAAUGAUGUUCCAUAUACAAGCUUAUAGGAAUACUUUUGUUGUUGUAAAAACUAUAUGCCAAUUUUGCCUUAUUUGACAGUCUUACACCAAACAGCACCUUCUUAUUAAAGAAGUGAACUAUGUAAACACACUGCCAGAUUUAAUUUUAUGCUACACAUGUAGUAUUUUACCCAAUUGGUACUAUUUUAAUUUGGAGACAAAUCACUUUGGUAAUAUAGUAUAUUUUGGUUUUCUUUUGAACACUUUCAGCAUUAGACACAAUCAAUAAAAUAAACAUUUAUAUACCUUGUUUUCCAAGACAACCACAAGAAUAUUUAUUAUUUAAA